rnacentral:ncRNA from 1 species
UUAUCGUGGUGCUUAAUUAAGGGUUCCACGUAAAAAAAUAAUGUGAAUUGCUGGAACACCCUUAGAGUCUUAAUAACUACAACGUAGUUGGCAACGAUAAGCGUGAAUGUUAAAAAAUAUUAAGAAUUGGGCAAUCAGCAGCGAAGCCUCUAUGGUAACAGUAGAGGAACGUUCAACGACUAAGUGCUACAAAUUUGUAGACAGUGCAUUAAAUAUUCUUUUAAAGAGACGCUAUGUAAUGAAUAUUAAGAUAUAGUCUAGUCUCAUGUGAAAGCAUGAG